GACGAACGCUGGCGGCGUGCUUAACACAUGCAAGUCGAACGGAAAGGCCCUGCUUUUGUGGGGUGCUCGAGUGGCGAACGGGUGAGUAACACGUGAGUAACCUGCCCUUGACUUUGGGAUAACUUCAGGAAACUGGGGCUAAUACCGGAUAGGAGCUCCUGCUGCAUGGUGGGGGUUGGAAAGUUUCGGCGGUUGGGGAUGGACUCGCGGCUUAUCAGCUUGUUGGUGGGGUAGUGGCUUACCAAGGCUUUGACGGGUAGCCGGCCUGAGAGGGGGACCGGCCACAUUGGGACUAAGAUACGGCCCAGACUGCUACGGGAGGCAGCAGUGGGGAAUAUUGCACAAUGGGCGGAAGCCUGAUGCAGCAACGCCGCGUGCGGGAUGACGGCCUUCGGGUUGUAAACCGCGUUAGCCUGUGACGAAGCGUGAGUGACGGUAAUGGGUAAAGAAGCACCGGCUAACUACGUG
rnacentral:rRNA from 1 species